rnacentral:rRNA from 1 species
UACAGAGGUGGCAAGCGUUGUUCGGAAUUACUGGGCGUAAAGGGCGCGUAGGCGGUCUUCUAAGUCUUGUGUGAAAUCCCUCGGCUCAACUGAGGAACUGCACGGGAUACUGGAAGACUUGAGUUCGGGAGAGGGAAGCGGAAUUCCGGGUGUAGCGGUGAAAUGCGUAGAUAUCCGGAAGAACACCAAUGGCGAAGGCAGCUCUCUGGGACGGUACUGACGCUGAGACGCGAAAGCGUGGGGAGCGAACGAGGA